UAAAAUCAAUUGCCACCACUGAUUAUCAAACUUGUAGCUCAAAAAAGGGUAGUGGUUUUGUGGAUAUGCGAACACUUAAAAAUAAACGAUGUAGAUAGUUUGUUGUAAUAUUUUUUUUUUAAGGUUCAAAAUCCUAAUUCUUUUUCACAAGCAUAAUAAUCAAGAUUGAGAUGAUCCAUUUGAAGGAUUUCUAAUGCAAUAGUUAUAAUUUUUUGUGAGUUUGAUGUGAGGCUUGGCUGCAGCUCUAUCAAAAAAAUUUCCUUCAAAAAAUCCAUAUGGUAGUUAGAUGGACUAAUUUAUUGACAAGGUGCUCCUUUUUUAAAGUUAUUUUCAAUUAUUAUCUCUCUGAUUAUUUUGUCACAAGAGGCCCUAAUUGCCAUUUUCUUAGUUUCAACCCCUAAACAACUAAAUGCAUUUUACUUAAAAGG
rnacentral:lncRNA from 1 species